GAAAGAUGAAAAGAAUUUUGAAAAGAAAGUCAAACAGUACGUGAAAUUGUUGAAAGGGAAACGAUUGAAGCCAGUCGUACCGAUGGGAAUUCAACUUCUCGAGUGCUAAUCGUGGGUGACGUUGAGCUUCACGGCCUUCGUUGCUUGUGUUGUUGGUGCUUUUGGGGUGUACUUUUCCGUAUGGUAGGUCAGCAUCGAUUUCGAUCGUCAUAAAAUGAUCGGGGGAAUGUAGCUUCGGUCUCGUAUCGGAGUGUUAUA
rnacentral:rRNA from 1 species